GACAGGAUCUCACUCUGUCACCCAGGCUGGAGUGCAGUGGUAUGAUCACAGCUCACUGCAGCCUUGAAUUCCUGGGCUCAAGUGACCCUUCUGCUUCAGCCUCCCACAUAGCUCAGACUACAGCACCCUACGUGAUUGUGAUCAUCUGGCAACUCUGGAUGUCAGGAUACUAGCCAGCAUUUCUCAACAUGGAUGGCAUGGUACUGUCAGCAGGAGAGCUAAAACCAAUCAAGCAACCUAAGGAACAGCUAACCAAAGCAACCAACCAACCAACCAAACAAGCAAGCAAGCAAGUAACCAAACAGCUAACCAACCAAUCAACCAACCAACCAAUAAACCAACCAAGCAAACAAACAGCAAAGCAACCAGGCAACUAACCAACCAACCAACCAACGAACCAACCAACCAACCAACCAACCAAUCAAACAAACGAACAAUAAGAACUGGCCCCAGACCAAUCAACUAGAAUCUUAAUAAAUGGGUCCUUUCUAGGGGAUUCUACUGUGCAGCCGGCGUUGAGAACCACUGUCUCUGGGCAAUAUUCCCCAAACUUCUCUGCUGAUGUGAAUCACCUGGGGUGCUUGUCAAGCUUACAGCUUUCCAGGAUUCUCUGGAGAUUCUGACACCCAUGCAUCUGGUUUGAAGCCCAGGAAUUUGUGUUUUUAACCAGUACAAGGCUUGAUCUUGCCUACAAUAGUGAGAUAAAAAUAAUCAUCUUCUACCAAUGUGAAAAGGAAUCCCCUUCACUGUUCUCUUUCUUCCCGUAUCUAACUCUGGGAAAAUGUCUCACUCAAAACAGGUGCAUUUUUGGUAGUUUGUUUACCAGUGUUCACCACUGAGUAAUAAGGUAUUUAGUCUUUAGACCUGUGCCUUUUUAUGCAGCGAUGGCUUUGUUCAUUGUCCUUAGGGGCUCUCCUCUGUAUUUUUCUCCCAUGUAAAAUGUACAUUUUAGAAUGUAGCCCUACUGCAUUCCCUGGAGUUGAUAUGGUAUUGACAUUCCCUGUCUGUAGAUCCACUAGUGUGGAGGUUAGGAAAGCAAUGUGACAUGGAGUAACUACUGUCACUUAUAAGGAGGGUCCCAGGAUGCUCUUUGAAUGGCUCUCCUGGCUUAUGUCAAUCCUUUUUUUGAGACCAGCAGGUAAGGACUCUGGAUUAAUCCAUUCUCAUCAGCCAUAUCAACAUAUCUGGGAGAUCUCCAUUCUCUCUCUGGACCAGACAUUCUUCUUGAAAUUCUUUUGGGGGUCAUUCUCAACUCUUGACCUUAUCUGAAUUAAACUUAUCAAUAUAUUUGAUAGAUACUACUAUCUAUCCCUUCUCCCAAAUGGGCAAAGGACAUAAACAAAUUAUGGGAGACAAACUAUAAGUGAUCAGUAAUGAUAACAAAUGCAAAUAAGAGGACCAUAAUCCAUUGAGUUUUCACUUGGUCUGGCAAAGAUUAAAGAUUAAUAAUAGUAUGCAUUGUUGAUGAGGUUGCUGUGAAAAAGGCAAUUCCCAUUGGUGGGAACUCUGAAUUGGUCCAACAACUUUGGAGGAAAAUCCGGCAGUAGCUAUCAAAAUUUAAAAUAUACAUAUCAUUGAGAAAGCAAUUCUGGCUUUAGUAAUUUGCUUUAUAGAGCUAUGCACAAAAGUAUGCAAAGACAGACAGAUAGACGGACAAUUUAUUGCAGCACUUUUCAUAAUAGGGAAACAUUGAGAAACAACCUAAAUGUCCAGUUAAAUAAUCUAUCGUAUGUCCAGAUACUCUGCAGCUGUUAAUGUGAGUGAGGUGGAUCUGUAGGUGCUGAUGUGGAAAGACAACUAUGUCAUUCACUAAAGAAAGCAAAGCUUCUACUAAUUAAAUAGUGAGGAAUACCCAGCUUGCUUAUAACUUCUUAAAAACAUUUGUUCUGAGGUUAUAAGAAAUAAAGCUAUAAAAGCAAAGGCUUAAAUCUCAUUUCCAUCACUUAUGAGCUGUGUGAUUUUGGCCAAGUUACUUCUUUGAACCUCAAUUUCUUUAUGUGUAAAGUGGGAGUCAUAACAGCCACUUCACAGAAUUCUGACGAUGUUUAAAAGAGAUCAUGUAUAAAACCCUUGUCACAAAUAACACUCAACAAAGGUUAUCUCCUAUUCCUUUAAAAGCAAAAAUUAAGGUGAUAUACAUGAAGGUCUGUAUAAACGGUAAGAGUAGAUCAGCUCCUUUUAUAGUUUGGAUAUUGGCCCAUGCCCAAAUAUCAUGUUGAAUUGUAAUUCCCAGUGCUGGAGGUGGGGCCUAGUAGGAGCUGUUUGGAGCAUGGGGGCAAAUCCCUCAGGAAUGGCCAUCGCACACCCCCCAUACCUCAAGUGAGCUCUUGCUCUGAGUUCACAUGAGAUCUGGUUGUUUAAAAGUGUGUGGCACCACCCACUCCACACACUCUCUGUUGCUUACCCCUGUUUUCACUAUGUGAUAUGCUUGCUCCCCCUUCACCUUCUGCCAUGAUUGGAAGCUUCCUGAGGCCUCCCUAAAAGCUGAGCACAUGACAGCAUCAUGCUUCCUGUAAAGCCUGCAGAACUGUGAGCCAAUGAAACC
rnacentral:lncRNA from 10 species